rnacentral:rRNA from 1 species
UACGUAGGGGGCGAGCGUUGUCCGGAUUCAUUGGGCGUAAAGAGCUCGUAGGCGGCUUGGCAAGUCGGAUGUGAAAACCCCGGGGCUCAACCCCGGGCGUGCAUCUCGAUACUGCCCGACUAGAGGUAGGUAGGGGAGAUCGGGAAUUCCAGGUGUAGCGGUGAAAUGCGUAGAUAUCUGGAGGAACACCGGUGGCGAAGGCGGCAUCCUGGACCGGUAUUGACGCUGAGGAGCGAAAAGCCAGGGGAGCAAAGCGGG